AUACGUAGGGGGCUAGCGUUAUCCGGAAUUACUGGGCGUAAAGGGUGCGUAGGUGGUUUCUUAAGUCAGAAGUGAAAGGCUACGGCUCAACCGUAGUAAGCUUUUGAAACUAAGAGACUUGAGUGCAGGAGAGGAGAGUAGAAUUCCUAGUGAAGCGGUGAAAUGCGUAGAUAUUAGGAGGAAUACCAGUUGCGAAGGCGGCUCUCUGGACUGUAACUGACACUGAGGCACGAAAGCGUGGGGAGCAAACAGGAUUAGAUACCCUGGUAGUCCACGCCGUAAACGAUGAGUACUAGCUGUCGGGGGUUACCCCCCUCGGUGGCGCAGCUAACGCAUUAAGUACUCCGCCUGGGAAGUACGCUCGCAAGAGUGAAACUCAAAUGAAUUGGCGGGG
rnacentral:rRNA from 1 species